rnacentral:rRNA from 1 species
UACGUAGGGUGCAAGCGUUGUCCGGAAUUAUUGGGCGUAAAGGGCUCGUAGGCGGUCCAUCGCGUCGGGAGUGAAAAGCUGGGGCUUAACCCCAGUCCUGCUUCCGAUACGGGUGGACUAGAGGUAGGCAGGGGAGAACGGAAUUCCUGGUGUAGCGGUGAAAUGCGCAGAUAUCAGGAGGAACACCAAUGGCGAAGGCAGCUCGCUGGGACGGUACUGACGCUGAGACGCGAAAGCGUGGGGAGCGAACAGG